CGAACGCGAAAGUGGAGCAAUCCAUGAGUAGAGUGGCAAACGGGUGAGUAACACGUGGGUGACCUGCCUUCGAGUGGGGGAUAACGUCCCGAAAGGGGCGCUAAUACCGCAUGAUAUGCCGUUUUUUAAGAGACGGACAUCAAAGCUGGGGAUCGUAAGACCUAGCGCUUGAAGAGGGGCCCGCGCCUGAUUAGCUAGUUGGUGGGGUAAUGGCUCACCAAGGCAACGAUCAGUAUCCGGCCUGAGAGGGCGGACGGACACACUGGGACUGAGACACGGCCCAGACUCCUACGGGAGGCAGCAGUGGGGAAUUGUUCGCAAUGGGCGCAAGCCUGACGACGCAACGCCGCGUGGAGGAUGAAGACCUUCGGGUCGUAAACUCCUUUCGAUCGAGACGAAUGGCCUCUGGGCUAACAUCCCGGAGGAAUGACGGUACCGAGAGAAGAAGCCCCGGCUAACUCCGUGCCAGCAGCCGCGGUAAUACGGGGGGGGCAAGCGUUGUUCGGAAUUACUGGGCGUAAAGGGCUCGUAGGCGGCCAACUAAGUCAUACGUGAAAUCCCUCGGCUUAACCGGGGAACUGCGUCUGAUACUGGAUGGCUUGAGUUCGGGAGAGGGAUGCGGAAUUCCAGGUGUAGCGGUGAAAUGCGUAGAUAUCUGGAGGAACACCGGUGGCGAAGGCGGCAUCCUGGACCGAUACUG
rnacentral:rRNA from 1 species